GGGAGCGUAGUUUAGUUGGUAGAACGCAUGCUUUGCACGCAUGAGGUCAUCGGUUCAAAUCCGGUCGUUUCCA
rnacentral:tRNA from 1 species